AUUGAACGCUAGCGGGAUGCCUUACACAUGCAAGUCGAACGGAGUGGCGAACGGGCGAGUAAUGUAUCGGAACGUGCCCAGUCGCGGGGGAUAACUACGCGAAAGCGUAGCUAAUACCGCAUACUAUUGGCGCGGCCGAUAUCGGAAUAGCUAGUUGGUGGGGUAACGGCUAACCAAGGCGACGAUCCGUAGCUGGUUUGCGCGGAAGACCAGCCACACUGGGACUGAGACACGGCCCAGACUCCUACGGGGGGCAGCAGGGGGGAAUUUUGGACAAUGGGGGAAACCCUGAUGCAGCCAUGCCGCGUGUAGGAUGAAGGCCUUCGGGUUGUAAAGCACUUUUGGCAGGAAAGCGGUACCUGCAGAAUAAGCACCGGCUAACUACGUGCCAGCAGCCGCGGUAAUAC
rnacentral:rRNA from 1 species